GAACGCUAGCUACAGGCUUAACACAUGCAAGUCGAGGGGCAGCAUGGUCUUAGCUUGCUAAGGCCGAUGGCGACCGGCGCACGGGUGAGUAACGCGUAUCCAACCUGCCUUACACUCUUGGACAGCCUUCUGAAAGGGAGAUUAAUACAAGAUGUUAUCAUGAGUAAGCAUUUUCACAUGAUUAAAGGUUUACCGGUGUAAGAUGGGGAUGCGUUCCAUUAGAUAGUAGGCGGGGUAACGGCCCACCUAGUCUUCGAUGGAUAGGGGUUCUGAGAGGAAGGUCCCCCACAUUGGAACUGAGACACGGUCCAAACUCCUACGGGAGGCAGCAGUGAGGAAUAUUGGUCAAUGGACGAGAGUCUGAACCAGCCAAGUAGCGUGAAGGAUGAAGGUUCUAUGGAUUGUAAACUUCUUUUAUACGGGAAUAAACGGAUCCACGUGUGGAUUUUUGCAUGUACCGUAUGAAUAAGGAUCGGCUAACUCCGUGCCAGCAGCCGCGGUAAUACGGAGGAUCCGAGCGUUAUCCGGAUUUAUUGGGUUUAAAGGGAGCGUAGAUGGGUUGUUAAGUCAGUUGUGAAAGUUUGCGGCUCAACCGUAAAAUUGCAAUUGAUACUGGCAGUCUUGAGUACAGUUGAGGUAGGCGGAAUUCGUGGUGUAGCGGUGAAAUGCUUAGAUAUCACGAAGAACUCCGAUUGCGAAGGCAGCUUACUAACCUGUAACUGACAUUGAUGCUCGAAAGUGUGGGUAUCAAACAGGAUUAGAUACCCUGGUAGUCCACACGGUAAACGAUGAAUACUCGCUGUAGGCGAUAUACAGUCUGCGGCCAAGCGAAAGCAUUAAGUAUUCCACCUGGGGAGUACGCCGGCAACGGUGAAACUCAAAGGAAUUGACGGGGGCCCGCACAAGCGGAGGAACAUGUGGUUUAAUUCGAUGAUACGCGAGGAACCUUACCCGGGCUUAAAUUGCAACCGAAUAUGGCGGAAACGCUAUAGCUAGCAAUAGCGGUUGUGAAGGUGCUGCAUGGUUGUCGUCAGCUCGUGCCGUGAGGUGUCGGCUUAAGUGCCAUAACGAGCGCAACCCUUGCCGAUAGUUACUAACAGGUCAUGCUGAGGACUCUGUCGGGACUGCCAUCGUAAGAUGUGAGGAAGGUGGGGAUGACGUCAAAUCAGCACGGCCCUUACGUCCGGGGCUACACACGUGUUACAAUGGGGGGUACAGAGGGCUGCUACCACGCAAGUGGAUGCCAAUCCCAAAAACCUCUCUCAGUUCGGAUUGAAGUCUGCAACCCGACUUCAUGAAGCUGGAUUCGCUAGUAAUCGCGCAUCAGCCACGGCGCGGUGAAUACGUUCCCGGGCCUUGUACACACCGCCCGUCAAGCCAUGGGAGCCGGGGGUACCUGAAGUGCGUAACCGCAAGGAGCGCCCUAGGGUAAAACUGGUGACUGG
rnacentral:rRNA from 1 species